ACGACGGAAAUUACAUAAUAAAUCCACAGCGUGUAUCUUAAUACAUUUGUCAGUACAUGGAUAACCCGAAUAAUCCAGUCGUUAUAUUACGAACACUUCGAUCACUCCAUUAACCAUUUCAACGAGAAAAGUAGUGGAUAGGGGCGCUGAUUUUUCGAGUUAGUACAUGGAGGAAAGAUAUUCAAAGAUUAGGAGCGACGAUUCACGUUUGACUGUCCCUUUGGUAUCUUUCGUCCCUCUUUCAAUAUCCAAUUGUGCAUUGUAUUUGUCGUGGUUGAAAAGGCACCAGGAACAUAUCAGGAUAGACAACAAAAGUCUAGUGAGAAAAAUGUUAUGAAACACCAGCAAAAAAGAUUAGAUUGUUAUUCAGUCCUGACUUAUACAGUGUUUCUGAAGAUGGAGAUUAGAUCAGGUCUAUCCAGAAGCAAGAAAAAGGACAAUUCAUAGCACGUACAUCUACAGAGAAAGACAUGUUUAAAAAAACAGAUUUAUUUUCAAUUUUAGAAAAACCUGUUGAACUUUUACUAUUUCUUAUCUGUUUAUUUUACAUUUAUAUGUUGAUAUUUUUUUUUUUUUUAAAUUGCUGCACUGUAUUUCUAUUCAGUCCCAUAUAACAAAAUCAGCUGAAGAAAUUUAUAUUUUCUUAUUUCAAGGGAGUGUCCUGUUGCAUUGUUGAUAGCAGAUAUAUGUAUUGUCUACAGUUGGGUUUAAAAACA